rnacentral:sRNA from 1 species
UACAGGAGGAAACAUAAUGAACAUAGUUCAUUUUCUAUAAAUGUUUCCGACGAAUAGCCGCUGACCGAAGGGAGGGGGCAAUACAGAUU